GACGAACGCUGGCGGCGUGCUUAACACAUGCAAGUCGAACGGUGAAGCGCCUUCCUUUUUGGUGGGUGUGGAUGAGUGGCGAACGGGUGAGUAACACGUGAGUAACCUGCCCCCUUCUUCUGGAUAACCGCAUGAAAGUGUGGCUAAUACGGGAUAUUCUGGGUCUGUCGCAUGAUGGGUCUGGGAAAGAUAUUGUUUCGGUGGGGGAUGGGCUCGCGGCCUAUCAGCUUGUUGGUGGGGUGAUGGCCUACCAAGGCGGUGACGGGUAGCCGGCCUGAGAGGGUGGACGGUCACACUGGGACUGAGACCCGGCCCAGACUCCUACGGGAGGCAGCAGUGGGGAUUAUUGCACAAUGGGCGCCAGCCUGAUGCAGCGACGCCGCGUGAGGGAUGGAGGCCUUCGGGUUGUGAACCUCUUUCGCCAGUGAAGCAGGCCUGCCUCGUUUGUGGGUGGGUUGACGGUAGCUGGAUAAGAAGCGCCGGCUAACUACGUG
rnacentral:rRNA from 1 species